UACAGAGGUCCCAAGCGUUGUUCGGAUUCGCUGGGCGUAAAGGGUGCGUAGGCGGUCGGGUAAGUCUGACGUGAAAUCUUCAAGCUCAACUUGGAAACUGCGUCGGAUACUAUUCGGCUAGAGGAAUGGAGGGGAGACUGGAAUACUUGGUGUAGCAGUGAAAUGCGUAGAUAUCAAGUGGAACACCAGUGGCGAAGGCGAGUCUCUGGACAUUUCCUGACGCUGAGGCACGAAAGCCAGGGGAGCAAACGGG
rnacentral:rRNA from 1 species